rnacentral:rRNA from 1 species
GACGAACGCUGGCGGCGUGCCUAACACAUGCAAGUCGAGCGGGGAUGUAUGGAGGAAGUUUUCGGAUGGAAUCGAUACAUUCUAGCGGCGGACGGGUGAGUAACGCGUGAGCAACCUGCCUUUCACAGGGGGAUAACGGAUCGAAAGAUUCACUAAUACCGCAUGAGACCACGAUACCGAGUGGUAUAGGGGUCAAAGGAGCAAUCCGGUGAAAGAUGGGCUCGCGUCCGAUUAGGUAGUUGGUGGGGUAAUGGCUCACCAAGCCAAUAAUCGGUAGCCGACCUGAGAGGGUGAUCGGCCACACUGGAACUGAGAUACGGUCCAGACUCCUACGGGAGGCAGCAGUGGGGAAUAUUGGGCAAUGGGGGAAACCCUGACCCAGCAACGCCGCGUGAGGGAAGAAGGUUUUCGGAUUGUAAACCUCUGUCCUUGGUGAAGAGCAGAAGACGGUAGCCAAGGAGGAAGCCCCGGCUAACUACGUGCCAGCAGCCGCCGUAA